CUCAGAUUUCAUCAAAAUAUCUUAAUUUGUGUUCAGAAGAUGAACAAAGGUUUUAUGGGUUUGGAAACAACAUGAGGAUGAGGAUUUUGGGUGAACUAUCCCUUUAAGCAUAAUGUUAUGACAAAGAAAUGUAGCCUAACUCUAGGCAUAUUUAAUAUAACACUAUAAAACUGCAUUGUUAUUGAAGAUUAUAAACGCACACACACAUGUAGCUUGAACAUAAAAACAAAGAAAGACACUUCUGGCUGGAAAAAGUGGGCGGAGACUAUAUCUGGGCAAAUGUUAUAGUGAAAGUAAAACUAAACACAGCUGCGGGUUGUUCAUUUUAAAUUCAGCAUUAAAUUUGCAGAUCCAAAAUGAGUUACUACAUUUUUAUUAAAGAGCUGGACGGAACAAACAAGAGCAGUAAGUGUGGAUUCAGAGGAGGAACUGAAGAACAUGACUGUUGAAGAGUUCAUAAGAAGAUUCAAUCCGGAAGACAAAUGGAAACUCAGAUUUAUCUUCGAGGGCAGACAGCUGGAGGAUGGUCGUACACUUGGUUCUUAUGGCAUAAAUGACUGUUCUACUAUUCAUGCAGUUCAGUGUCUACGUGGGUGGAGACCCAAGCUGUGCACCUGAAGAUGGAGAUGAAGGAAUGCCCAGGACUGAAUCAAUGGAAGUAUUAGCUGAAAUGCAGAAGAUUGAGUCAGAAUAGAUCAUUUCAGUGAAGCCUCAUAUAAAUCCACAUACUGUACAUAUAUUCAUACUGUGGGUUUAUCAGUGUCUGUCAAUAUCGUUCAAAUUUACUACCAUAAAAUACACUACAGGCUAAAAACAGAAGAUAACAUACUUUGAUAAAGUAAAAUAUUUCAUGACACAAGUGAAAUUAUAAUGGCCACUUUAUGUAAAUAUGAAAAAUAGAAAAUAGUAGAUCACAAUGAACGACUGGCCAAAAAAUAAAUGAAUAACUUCCUUCAGUGCAGCGUCCAUAAAGUACAAGAGGCUGAAAUCAGAACAUAAUACAUGAUAUUGAAAUUAUGGUAGUAAAUUUGAACAAAAUAUGAAAAAAAACAGUGUUUAAAUAACUUAAAGUCUCCGUUCUGUCCUUUUACGCUGUCACAAAAAACAAGCACUUGUUUUCUCUCUAUAGCAGUGCUUUUAUAUUAGAGACACUUCAGUAGUAUAUAUCUACUACUUAUUGCAGGGAAAUGCUGCUAUUUUUACAUCUAUCGUUAUUUGCACUUAGGAUAAUAAAUGCUGCUAUUUUCACUCUGUGUAAAAAGCAUCUAUUGCUUUUUGCAUUAUAUUGUAUUAUUUUUAUGUUAAUUUUUGUAGCUGUAACUGAAGCUACUGUUCAACAAUGUUUUUAGGGCAACUUCUCAAAAUCACACAGUGUUGUGUUUUACAGUUUAUGUGAUACUAUACAACCUGUAGAAUGUUGGUUCAAAACCAUUGGUUUGUUUACAUUUUUUUUUUUUUUUAUUUUGUGCUUCAUUAUUGUUUAAUAGUUUAUAUUCACCACAUGCUGCUAUGAGACACUGUACUGUAUAUUUGAACAGUAAGAUGUUUUUAACCUUCUUAUUUCCUGAGCCAUGUUCAAAACAGGUUAAAAUAAAUUAAAUCAAUAUUAAAACGGAUCAACUAAAAUAAAACAUUUUAUGAAUAGUGUUGGUCAUGCUGUUGUGUUUUGACAGCAUUGUUGUUCAUUAAGUGGAUCUGGAUCCUAAACAACAGCAGCAGACAACAUCAGCUGA